rnacentral:rRNA from 1 species
CUCAGUUCGGAUUGGAGUCUGCAACCCGACUCCAUGAAGCUGGAUUCGCUAGUAAUCGCGCAUCAGCCACGGCGCGGUGAAUACGUUCCCGGGCCUUGUACACACCGCCCGUCAAGCCAUGGGAGCCGGGAGUGCCUGAAGUACGUGACCGCAAGGAGCGUCCUAGGGUAAGACCGGUGACUGGGGCUAAGUCGUAACAAGGUACC